rnacentral:rRNA from 1 species
AAAUUGAAGAGUUUGAUCAUGGCUCAGAUUGAACGCUGGCGGCAGGCCUAACACAUGCAAGUCGAACGGUAACAGGAAGCAGCUUGCUGCUUUGCUGACGAGUGGCGGACGGGUGAGUAAUGUCUGGGAAACUGCCUGAUGGAGGGGGAUAACUACUGGAAACGGUAGCUAAUACCGCAUAACGUCGCAAGACCAAAGAGGGGGACCUUCGGGCCUCUUGCCAUCGGAUGUGCCCAG